AAUUUUGGACAAUGGGGGAAACCCUGAUCCAGCCAUCCCGCGUGUGCGAUGAAGGCCUUCGGGUUGUAAAGCACUUUUGGCAGGGCAGAUAAGGCGCUGGUUAAUACCUGGCUCCGCUGACGGUACCUGCAGAAUAAGCACCGCCUAACUACGUGCCAGCAGCCGUGGUAAUACGUAGGGUGCAAGCGUUAACCGGAAUUACUGGGCGUAAAGCGUGCGAAGGCGGUUCGGAAAGAAGGAUGUGAAAGCCCGGGGCUUAACCUCGGACAGGCAUUCUUAACUGCCGGGCUAGAGUAUGUCAGAGGGGGGUAGAAUUCCACGUGUAGCAGUGAAAUGCGUAGAGAUGUGGAGGAAUACCGAUGGCGAAGGCAGCCCCCUGGGAUAAUACUGACGCUCAUGCACGAAAGCGUGGGGAGCAAACA
rnacentral:rRNA from 1 species